ACUACAUGAAGUUGGAAUCGCUAGUAAUCGCGGAUCAGCAUGUCGCGGUGAAUACGUUCCCGGGUCUUGUACACACCGCCCGUCACACCAUGGGAGCGGGUUUUACCAGAAGUAGGUAGCUUAACCGUAAGGGGGGCGCUUACCACGGUAGGAUUCGUGACUGGGGUGAAGUCGUAACAAGGUAGCCGUAUCGGAAGGUGCGGCUGGAUCACCUCCUUUCUAG
rnacentral:rRNA from 1 species